AUUGAACGCUGGCGGCAGGCCUAACACAUGCAAGUCGAGCGGAUGAGAAGAGCUUGCUCUUCGAUUCAGCGGCGGACGGGUGAGUAAUGCCUAGGAAUCUGCCUGGUAGUGGGGGACAACGUUUCGAAAGGAACGCUAAUGCCGCAUACGUCCUACGAGAGAAAGCAGGGGACCUUCGGGCCUUGCGCUAUCAGAUGAGCCUAGGUCGGAUUAGCUAGUUGGUGAGGUAAUGGCUCACCAAGGCGACGAUCCGUAACUGGUCUGAGAGGAUGAUCAGUCACACUGGAACUGAGACACGGUCCAGACUCCUACGGGAGGCAGCAGUGGGGAAUAUUGGACAAUGGGCGAAAGCCUGAUCCAGCCAUGCCGCGUGUGUGAAGGAGGUCUUCGGAUUGUAAAGCACUUUAAGUUGGGAGGAAGGGCAGUAAGUUAAUACCUUGCUGUUUUGACGUUACCGACAGAAUAAGCACCGGCUAACUCUGUGCCAGCCGCCGCGGUAAGAC
rnacentral:rRNA from 1 species